AUUAUUGCAUCAAAUAUAAUGUAUAUAGUAGGCCAAUACCCACGUUUUUUGAGAGCUCACUGGAAGUUCUUGAAGACAGUAGUCAACAAGCUAUUUGAGUUUAUGCAUGAAACCCAUGAUGGUGUUCAGGAUAUGGCUUGUGAUACCUUCAUAAAAAUAGCA